rnacentral:rRNA from 1 species
CAGGGAUUGCCUCAGUAACGGCGAGUGAAGCGGCAACAGCUCAAAUUUUAAAGCUGACGUCUUUGGCGUCCGCGUUGUAAUUUGGAGAGGCAUCUUCGGUUUGGGCGCCAGUUUAUGUUCCUUGGAACAGGACGUCACAGAGGGUGAGAAUCCCGUGCCUGGCUGGCUGUCCCUUUCCAUGUGAAGUGCCUUCGACGAGUCGAGUUGUUUGGGAAUGCAGCUCAAAAUGGGUGGUAAAUUUCAUCUAAAGCUAAAUAUUGGCGGGAGACCGAUAGCGCACAAGUAGAGUGAUCGAAAGAUGAAAAGCACUUUGAAAAUAGAGUUAAAAAGUACGUGAAAUUGUUGAAAGGGAAGCGCUUGAGACCAGACUCGGCCGGAGAUGAUCAGCCGUCCUUCUGGGCGGUGCACUCGUUUCCGGCCGGGCCAGCAUCGGUUGAGACGGCGGGAUAAAGGCCCGGGGAAUGUGGCUCCUUUCGGGGAGUGUUAUAGCCCCGGGCGCAAUGCCGCCAGCCUCGACCGAGGACCGCGCUUCAUUGCUAGGAUGCUGGCGUAAUGGUCUUCAGCGACCCGUCUUGAAACACGGACCAAGGAGUCUAACAUCUAUGCGAGUGUUUGGGUGUCAAACCCUUGCGCGUAAUGAAAGUGAACGGAGGUGGGAACCCUCGCGGGGCGCACCAUCGACCGGUCCUGAUGUCUUCGGAUGGAUCUGAGUAGGAGCAUAGCUGUUGGGACCCGAAAGAUGGUGAACUAUGCCUGAAUAGGGUGAAGCCAGAGGAAACUCUGGUGGAGGCUCGCAGCGGUUCUGACGUGCAAAUCGAUCGUCAAAUUUGGGUAUAGGGCGAAAGACUAA